UUGCAAUACCACUUUUUUGAGUGCUGUAAUAGAAUUAAGAGAAAGACUAUAGAGGACGAUAGAAUUUAAGAGCAAUUUCGUGACUGCGAAAUUAUUUUAUUUUCCAUUUAUCGACAACGUGCAACGGGGAGAGGAUCGUUUCUCGCUGACUCUUUCGCGAACGAUAAUUUACAACUAUUUGGUGACCUUUAACGCGCGUUAUCAUCUUCUGCAGCGUUCCGUUUAAAGCACCUUAUCGAAUUCGCGCGAUAGAUUAACAACGUGUAAUAAAAUGCGAGGCUGUUCGGAGAGCGGGGAUAUAUACACCUUUACACGCUUUACAAGCUGCGGCGGAUGAUGUCAUAUCGAGUCUGUGCACGCACAACGACGGCCGAGCCGAGUCGUACUCGUAUUACUAUCAGGUUGAAAAAUGAAUACGAUUACGGGCCCCGCCGUAUGGCGCAAGGUCGUGAUCUUGCAAUCCAGCGCCGUCGUGCGUAGCUUGAAAGGCGAACUACGCGCCAAAUCUAUUCGCGAUCGCUGAAAUGUCUUUAAUCGCGACUGUAUUUUGUGACGAAUUCUACUCGAUAAACGAUCUCGUUCCUCGAUAAAAAAAAAAAGAGAUAGAAAGAGACGAUAUCGCGCCGACAAAACGAGCGUCAGACGAUGCACUUUCUUUAUAAUUUCGAAGAUUGAAAGGAGAUUCACUAUCGUUUUUCUACGGAACCCAGAAACCAAGUACAGAGUCAAGUAGGCGAAAGUGUCUUUAUUAGGAUAGGUUCACGAUGACAUUAUAAAUUUUUUUGAAAUUCAGCCCAGACCUUCAAGAUGAAAAUCUUUACAUUCUAUCACACAAGAGAGGGCAAUACCGAUGGUGCCUCCAUUUGUCCGGAUUAGGCUACCGACCUUGGGUUCUGACGUAAAAAUAGAAUGUCUGGAUUCGCAAGAGAUAAUAUUCAACGUUUUUGCUCUUGAAAAUAAUCCUGAGAAUGAACGUAUUUCCAUAAUUUUAUACCGCGACGACACUUAAGGUCAGUAGGUAAUCGUUGCUAUGGCGAUCUCCGUCAGUAUACAUAUAUGCUACAAAUGCAAAAAACGAAUGACGCGCAUUCUUUUACGUCUUACAUAAAUAAAACGAAACAAACCGCACGGGUCAAUCUCAUUAUUUUAUUACGCUUUUAUGUUAGAAACUAAUCCUGCGUACAAUAAAAAUGUUACAAAAUAUCGUUUUCCCGCAACGAGGCCAGCGCACUUGCGGCAAUUACAACGGCAAUUACGAAAUAACCGGGCAACACUACAAUGCCAUGCUUGUGCGUGCGUGUUAGUACGCACGUUUGAGAACGUUUGCGCAAUCAUAGAUGUGCAUUGUAGGCGAGCGUGGUUUAAGGAAAAGACGAAACGGAUGAGGAACACGUCCUUUAAAGUCACCUUGUAUACCUUACGAAACGUAUGUGCGUUUCGCGUUCCGCGAAAUCGAGACGGAACGGGAAAUGAGUUAAGCAUCGAUUACACGAGCGGACAAUCUCGUAUACUCGCAAGGUGAUUACGAAGUAGUCGCUGCGUAACGCAAUACUUGAAUCGACCAGUGACAUUUCCUAGUGAAACUCGCACAUUUAUUUCUAUAUUUUACCAAUUAAUCACGCUUUUAAUUGAUGCUAAGUGGCGAAAUUUUCACCGCAGCCUACUUGAUUCUCGGUAUACUUUGAACGCAUGGCACCACGUUUUCUUCAGACGUAAACGUUUAAAUUUGAAUAAUCUGCUUUAUUUUUGCUUUUGUAAUUUUGUUUAUCUCAAGUA